rnacentral:rRNA from 1 species
GACGAACGCUGGCGGCGUGCCUAACACAUGCAAGUCGAACGGGGGUAGCAAUACCCAGUGGCGGACGGGUGCGUAACACGUGAGGAACAUGUCUUUCGGCGGGGAAGUAGCCGGCCUAACGGCCGGGUAAUACCGCGUACGACGAUUGGGGCGGCAUGCCUUGAUCGUGAAAGCAGCAAUGCACCGAUAGAGUGCCUCGCGGCCUAUCAGCUAGUUGGUGAGGUAAUGGCNCACCAAGGCGACGACGGGUAGCUGGUCUGAGAGGAUGAUCAGCCACAUUGGGACUGAGACACGGCCCAGACUCCUACGGGAGGCAGCAGUGGGGAAUAUUGCGCAAUGGGCGAAAGCCCGACGCAGCGACGCCGCGUGUGGGAUGAAGGUC